AACUUUUGACAACGGAUCUCUUGGCUCUCGCAUCGAUGAGGGACGCAGCGAAAUGCGAUAAGUAAUGUGAAUUGCAGAAUUCAGUGAAUCAUCGAAUCUUUGAACGCACCUGGCGCUCCCUGGUAUUCCGGGGAGCACGCCUGUUCUAGUGUCGCGAAAUUUCCCAAGCUUGGAUGGCUUGUUUGUCUGUCCUAAGCCGUUGUUGUUGUGCUUUGCCGUGUCCUUCAUUGGGGCGGCCGUCCUUAAAAGCAUCAGCUGAUCCUUGUGUGGCACUGGUUCUACUCAGCGUGAUAAUAGUCUGAUCGAUGAGGACAUCUUUUGGGAUGGCCAGUUCUCAUUUGGGUUGCUUCUAAACUUGGUUUUGCAGAUUCUUUCAAUCUGUGUUCCACUUUUUCAGCUUUGACCUCGAAUCAGGUGGGACUCCCCGCUGAAUUUAAGCAUAUCAAUAAGCGGAGGUU
rnacentral:misc_RNA from 1 species